GUGAGUUUAAUUCCAGCAUGGUCCAGAUCGACUAAAAUGUAUAAUGUAUUUCACCCACUCAAAUUUAACAGUCACGAUUUUCUUUCUUUGAAUCAUGUACAGCAUCUAGAGCCUCACGUACAACAUCCAUUUAUUAUUUACUUUACAUUCAAAUGCGAUAGCAUGUGCAUGGUUGGUUCAGGUGACAGUCGGACUUCCACUUCUUUCUUGUCUUUAAGCCACCAAACGUAGGGUUUCCUGGAGGCUUGGGUCUCGCGUCACCCCAAUACACUUGAAAAUAACUGAAUGACAUAGUUCUGGGUCUGUGCUGUCUCCUUGAUCUUCAUCAUCAUCAUCUUCUUCAAAGGAAUGUUCGUUGAACUCAACACUUCUCGUCUCGUUUCUUCUGUUUCUGAGUUAUGAGAACUAGGUGUAUCAUACUGAUGUCGUGAACCUUGUAACUGGUGCCGCCUUUUCUGCUUCUUGCACCUGCAAUACAAUAAUAUUUUAAUAGACUAUUAUUUUAGUAAUUAAAUCGAACUUGCCUAAAUACAAAAAGCGUUUUCACAUCCCUUUUCCACUGUUACCAGGUAAGGAGUAGAGAUUGUAUCUAGUACAGAACAGUACAGAACAGUCACGGAUGAAGCCAAUAAAUUUGUAUCAAUCCAUUCUCAUCAGUGAACUGGUAAUUUUGUAAGGAAAUGUUGUACCAACAAACAGUACCAACAAACAACAAAAUGGGGAUAUCCUCAUCUUCACGGGGUCACUUUGAGUGCAAGUGGCCAUGAUGGCAAAUAAUUAUGGUAGAAUGUACCCACGUGGCAAGGAAUGUGUGGAAUGCAAUUUUAAUUAUAAUCGUGACGAACCUCCUCUGGUUAUUCCCUUUGAAAAUCCCCACAACUGAGUAGCAUUUUAAGAGACUGUGUGGGCACUCUGAAACAUUACACUGGUAAUGACGAGGAAAUGGCCAGUUUUAAUAAACUGAUCGAUUGCCGAGAGGAGAACUAGUAUCAGUUCAACUAUCUAGACGUGCAUCUUUUCCUGUUCUAUCAUCAAAGCUGUUCUAUCAUCAAAGCUGUUCUAUCAUCAAAGCCAACCUUGUACCAGUGCUACUUCAGUCCAAGUGCUACUUCAGUCCAAAAAAUUAUCGCUGAACAUUAAUUCAUACUCAUAACUCACUCAACAUUCUCAUACUCAUUGAUCGAUGAACAUUAUCGAUCGUGCAUAACUAUAAUAAUAACUAUAAUAAUUAUACAUGUACACAUGCAUUGAUAUGUAUAUUGUUGUCCUAUAUUGUGCUCCGACAUCGUGAACAAACUUUGCUCCAGGGCCCGUUCUUGCAAAUCUUGACUCCACAACCUCCACAAUACAUUUGCUACGACUCCAAUGUGUUAUAAACAUCCAUUCCAAUUCCACAGAAAUAAUCUUCUUACUAUCAGCCAACACAUCCACUGACCACAUCCACUGACCAUUCACUGACCAUUUACAGUCUACUAAACACUUAAAAUAAUGCAAUGGCUCAAAAACAUUAUCCGGUUCUGGUUUUAUCCUGAAUUCAAUUGUAACACCUCUUUGCUUGUUCAAGGAACUAAUGUUUCCUCUUCUCUUGAUACUGCUCUUCUUUGAUACUGCUCUUCUUUACUGGUUCCUAUACACUUGGAGUGAAUCAUCAUCAUCAUCAUCAUCAUUAUCCGAUAUAUAAGUUUCUGGUAUCAUAGUAACAUCCUCAUUGGGUGUAGUCGAAUGUUGAUCUAGUACUUCCCACUUCCAAAUUCUUAAUCAGCUUGGAUUUCAGCUUCUCCUCAAGUGGUGCUGGUAUGCUCAAUGCAUUGAGAGGUGAGGUGCAGACUUAAAGCUGAGCCUUGAGAUGACACACAUACUGCAUGUGACCUCCAUGUUUCUCAGAGUGAUCUCAGACGGAGAGUGUAUGGUGGUGAAGUGCGGCUUUGAGAUACUCUUAAGCGCUCGCAUGUGUAAACAAAGAGGGCAUUCGAAAAUAUCGUAUGACUGUUGCUUGCUGACAGAAGGUGGGAGGAGCGAUCGUGUGGACGUACUGGAUGCAUGACGUACUGGAUGCAUGACAGCUUUUUGCUGGCCUGCCAGGUGCAUAAAGUUGCUUGGCCUCCCACCAAUACUACAACUAGAACAAACUAGGCAGUUGUCCUCGCUGUGAGCAGACCACGAUGCAAUCACCUUUCUGGGUGGGGUUGGGGUUGUAUUGUCUUCCGUAUAUUGUUACUGUGGAUGAGUUAUUUCCACAUCUUCACUGACGUCUAUGCCGAACACCUUUAGGACUUUCUCUCUGAUGCUCGGCCUGCUUGAUGCACAUGACUGCUUGCAUGUGAUUUAAAUGAAUAACUGAGCAGUUGCCAUGGUUAUGAGUAUUGCACAAGACAGGAAAUUUACAGAUAGACACCCACUUACUUUUCCAAUUCUAAUCACAAAACAGCGGUGUGUAUACAAUAACUGUCCUAUUAAAACGGAAGUAAACCGAGAUUGUGUAGAAUGAUGGUAUGCAGGCGGCAUUAGUAUUCAGAACAUAAUUAUAGCUAGAUGUAUAAUAGAUGUACUCAGGUAGGUUAAGGCAGCUUUUUAGCAAAAACAGCAGAUGAAGUGUGAUGAAGUGUACUUAUACAACUCAGAUUUAUUGUAUAAUAAUUAUCUUGACCAUUAAUUUCAUAGUGACCAAAAAUAAUAACAUUUUAGAAAUGCAGCCUCCAAUACUACUAAGCUAUUGGUGAGAGUAACUUAAUUGAUAAAAUGCUGAGAAAAUGAAUCAUUCAUAAUUAUGCAUACUGUACAAAUUACAUGACAAAUGAAAGCAGCUAAUGCAGAUUGAUUUUUUCAUAUAUCAUGAACCACACAUUCACCUUAACACCAUCAUCGUUACCUAGCAACUGACCACCCUUAUAAUUAUGUACACAAACAAUAUGCACAAAGUGACUAUAUAUGUAUUCUCACGGAUCAGCAGAAACUUGUCACAUCAGCAGACGUUGAAAAUUAGUGCAUGUAUCAUUGCGUUUUUGCAGCCUCUGUAAUUCUGCAAUUCUCCAAUAUACGCGAUGACGAUGGUUUUUUUUCUCAGAGAGGACAAUAAGUGUUGGGCCACCCCAGUGCACUUCAGCCGUGCUGUAUAUCGUGUUUAGACGUUUCCCACAAAAAUUAACCAUUCAGAACCCAAAUUGGAAACUAUAAAAUAAAUGUGCUCUUAAAUGUGUGCUCUUAAAUGUGCUCUUAAAUGUGCUCUCUAUAUUAAACAUCUCUCUAUUAAACAUAAGAGCUUAUUACAUACCGAUAUGUAGUGAGCAGCAAGUAUCAAAUUUUAAGCGCAAUUUAAACGCAAUAAAGUGUAAUGGUGAUGCAUUGUACGCACAUUGAAGAUUCGGGAAACAAAUUUGCAAAAAUUAAAUGAUGUUGCUCGGUUUUGUUGCGACCCUUUUGAAAGUUGUGUUUUGACCAUUGAUCCAACGUUUAAUUUAGGUCAACGUUUAAUUUAGGUGGAUGUUACGUGCCUGCCACGUCACAUUGUAUGUUGUUGUGGUAUCGAGUGUAGCGACUAUACUUACGUGUUCAAGGGCACAGUACACUUAUUUAUUCCUUAUAUACAACACUUAUACAGAUGGUUGAGAAUCUCAGGGAACAUGUAGCCAAAUGCCAAAACUCCCAUACUCCACCACAUGACAGUGAAACAGAGUUUAACAGGGAAUUUCCGUCAUUCUUAUCGAGAGUCCGAAGGGGAUAAAGCUGGAAGUGAAGAGACAUCAAGUCAUCCCUAUAGCUAAUAUAUAAUAGAAUGCUAGCUAUUAGUACGUAGCUGUAAGAGAGGCGGAAAAAAGCUGCACCGUGAUUAUUCAUUAUACAUACAAUCAUUAUCAUUGAUAGGAGCUAUCUUUCCUUGAUGAAUGAGUCCUCAAAGUGACCUAUCAGAGGAUGAUACUGACUUACAGGCAGCAAUAUCUGCAAGCCUUGCGCCCCCCGAAGUGGAAACGACAAUGACAUACCCUAAGUCUGACAUUAAAGCAAUCUUGAAGGACCACUGUGCUUCAAGCAUUUCGUUAGAGGAUUAUUGCAGGAUUAUGGUACGAAGAACCCAUAUCUGGGAAGAUUCACUGAGGAUGUUCUGCAAGAUUGACAUGAAGAAAACGCUCCGAGUCACUUUUAUGGGGGAGGCUGGUGUAGGCCCGUGUAGGGAGUACCUACGAUUGCUGAUGUCAGAAAUGAGCAAACAGGGUCAUCUAUUCAUGCAAAGUUCCAAUGCAUAAUGCCUUGGCACUGACCAAGGGAGAUUUCUACAAAAUUGGUACCUUUAUUGUCUUGUCCAUCACACAAGGAGGCCCAGGGCCAACGUGGUUUGCGGGUAGUGUUGUAGACUAUCUUUUUGGUGGAACUGAAGCUGUGAAAGGUUGUGCUGCUGAUGUCCCUGAUUAUGACGUCCGUGAGAAACUGCUUGAGGUAUAAAGGUUACAAUUAAUUUCCAUGCUGCUGAUUUGAUAUCGUUUGUAAUUGGUAUAUACGUACAUAUGAGUGAUGCUGAUCUGUGCAACAAUAAUUUAUGCUAUCCUGCAUGGAGACAUACUUAACCCCUCGACGGAGGAGGAAUUAAGGGAUGAAAAGUUCUCCUUUAGGUUUGAUUGUGGAGUUUUCCAACCAACGUCUCAACUGAAAUUGAGAGACAAGGAGCAUAUUAUUGCUAGCAUAUCUAUGCAUUUCUGUGUCUAUUCCUGUAAAGUUGAGCUUGAUGAAAUGAGGCGAGGUCUACUCUCCCUCAACUUUAUAGGCGCCAUGAAUGGCCCUUCAAGUUCAAUGCAGAGGCCCAAACGCUUACUGCCGAAGAAGUGGAGAAGCUUCUGUUCAGUCCCCAAGGCUCAAACAAAAGGAGCAAGGAGGAGCAAGUGAUGAUGCACUUUUUGGAAUUCCUUCAGGAUUUGGAAGAAUAGAUGGGAAUGGAAAAGUAACUGUGGUGAACAACAGUGAACCGGAAAAUCUUCCUCUUAUUCUAGAAGAUGUCACCACAGGAGCUGCUGGUGUCCCUCCACUAGGGUUUGAGGAAGAGUCUUCAAUGCUGAAGAUGAGGCUAAAUCGAAGAUGAGGCUAAAUCAGAUUUACCUACAUCUAGCACGUGCACGUGCACAAACACAUUGUUCAUUCCAACAACCAACCACAAUGACUGUGAAAAAUUUAAAUACAAAUUUGCUCAGGGUAUUCUCAGGUGAAUUAAGGACUGGGUCCUUUAAUUAUUGCUGAUUCAGCUAAAACGAAGCUCCGCCCACGCUUUUUACCAGCAAUUGUGCAUAAAAAUGGAUCUCAAACUGCUUAAAUCUUUAGCUCUAAUUCCGGAGUCCUAAACGCUCCUUGAAGCACUUACUUUUUAGUGUAGUAGUUAGUUCUAAGGCUAGUACACACAGUAAUAUACGGAAGGAGCCGUCUGCACUACGUAGAGUAAGUUAUUAGCUUUUACAUGUAAAAAAUUAAGCUAGAAAACUAUGUUUUAUAGAAUAUCUCACCUUUAGUUGAAGGAACAGCUCCUUCCGAAUAUUACUGUGUGUACUAGCCUUAGAACUAGCUACUACACUAAAAAGUAAGUGCUUCAAGGAGCGUUUAGGACUCCGGAAUUAGAGCUAAAGAUUUAAGCAGUUUGAGAUCCAUUUUUAUGCACAAUUGCUGGUAAAAAGCGUGGGCGGAGCUUCGUUUUAGCUGAAUCAGCAAUAAUUGAAGGACCCAGUCCUUAAUUCACUUGAGAUUACCUGUGCAGUAGGUUUCGGCCAAGUUUAAAUUUUUUUUUUCCAUUUUUCUUCCAUGCUAUUAUAUAUAUAUUAUAUAUAUAUACUCUGCCAUCUUAUUCUCAUUGUUAUUAUUUUAUUCACCUCUGAUUGAAUUGUCGUACAUUGAUGAUUGCCAUAAUAAUUAUAAGAACAAAUUAAAGUGCACGGAGAAAAUCUUUGGAUCACAAGUUGACGGACUCAAUAAUUAUAAAUUAUACCCGUGAUCUACUUCACUCUGAAAAGGCAUGCACAAAUGUUCUAACAAGAACAUAUGUUUUACCAAAGUUAUCAAGGGUUAUAGUGUCUGGAUCAAUUACAGUUUCCAACACAUCAGCUAAGUAAGGUGGUAAUGGAUGGGUUGGCAACCGUUACUUGCGCUGGAUCAGAGUAAGAAAUUGGCCCAGACCAAUCAAUCCAAGAUAUACAGUAAGGUAUGAAUGCAUUGUAUAAUUUAACCUACAUUACUCAGUGGCUCCAAUACACUCUGUAGUUCCGCACUAGUGCACAUUCCAAGAACCCAAGAACCCACAGCUGAUACGGAGUUUUUCCUCUUUCACUACUAAGAGGAUGAUUUUUCCAUGAGUUACUGAACUGCCGUAACUGCAAGGACAGCACAGAAUAGUGAAGAGAAAAAAUAUCUCUGUCAUCACACGCAUCUAGCAGACCACCAUCCUCAAGCCCAGUGAAAAGAUGAUAGAAAGGAGCUACACAACCCAAAGUCUCUCAAUCCUUUGGUUGUGUACACUGCGACCUGUUCCUGUCCUCUCUCAGGGUGGUUGAGCAUAUACCUCGAAAUACUCACAUUUUCUCCACCCUUAUCGCUUCUAGCUCUUGAUGGUAGCCCAAAUGUUUCAACACCAGCAAGAAAGGACCCCAGUACUGUUUCAGCUCUGUUGUUGACUGCAGCAUGCAGAUAUACUAUGAGCCUUGAAUAGCCAUCUAUCCCACCGUGGAUGACUAUUUUCCAGUGGAUAAGCUUGUGGAUGGAUACCACAUGCCAAAGACUAUUUGAACCAGGUACAGAAUAUCGCCAUCGAGGGUCAACACGUGCUAGGCUGUCCCUUGCUCUUUGUCUGGGUAUUCUUAUUCCCUGUGAUCUUAAGUGGCCAACAAGCAUUCUGUGAAAUGUCGCUUACGUGAAAUGUCGCUUACAACAGAAUGUAGAUAACUGGUGAACCCAAACUCUUGUAUUCGCCGAUAAACAGUUUUGGCUGAACACUGUAGCACCGAGAAAUGGCUAUGUAAUAGCUGAAGAACUUGUUCUUCAGUGAUCCCUCUGGUAGU